UUACAACUUAUAAAUAGAGAAAAGAAUUGGAGAAGAAGGGUUACCGAGAAAGAGAGAAACAAAGCGGGAAAAGAAAAACUAGGGUUAUGGAAAGAAGAGACAAAGAGGAAUAGCUAGAAGAACCUAGGGUUAUGGAAAUCAUCAAUUCUACAAACUAGAGGUAUGGGGGAGUUUCUAUUUACCAUAAGGGUUGUGUAAUCAUGUGGAUGGCGAAGGAUUGUUAAUUUUUCAUUGCUUUCUUAUUAUCUAUGAUUAAAUUUAUGUCCUUUUGUGUUUGAUUAUUAUCUAUGAUUAAAUGUUUGAUUUUCGUUUAUGAAUUGUGAUGUUAUAUGAUUGACGCCUCUCCAUGUCAUGUUUAUCUUUUAGAAUUGUUAUGCUAUAUUUAUGUUUAAUUAUAUGUUGAUGCCUCUGCUAUGUCACUAACUUGUUUAUAUAUCGGAUUUAAAGUGUGAAUAAUGUUCUAAAUUGUUUAUUCAUUUAUUUAUCUAUAUGACGAGAACCAUCAUAAGGAUUGUGUACUCAUGUGGGUAGUUAAGGGUUGUUAAUUUAUGGUUUCUUUAAUUCUUUUGAUGAUUAUAAGCCAAGUUCGUACUCUAAUUCAUUACUGUAAUUACCUAUUUUAUUUUUGGCUCUGAUUGAAUCAUUAGUUCCUAACUUAUGCAUAAUGAUGAUGUUUGUACGAUGACUUAUAUUUUUCUGUAUCUUUGAUUAAAUAUGUUUAAUAAGGGAACGUUAAAUAUUCACCAAAAAGUGGCAUGUAUAUGUUUUAAUUUUGAAGAUCCUUUCGGUAGAGAGUCUUGAAUCUGUAUUUACUUGUAGAGAGUGAGAUAUUUUUGAUAAUUCAUAAAACAAACCUGAUGAUACAAGUAGAAUACUAAUCCAAUCUAUUAUGUAUAAUAGCAUCAAUUAUUUGAUAUUCAUUGGUUCCUUCGUGUUACAUAACUGGAUUCUUGAACAAUGUUUUUUUUAUUCAAAUUUUUGGAUAGAACCUCAAGAUAUUUUCCAAUUUAGAAUUUAAUUUCUUAUUAGUAUUUGUAUUAACCCUUGCCCUUUUAAACUAAAAACGGAUACUAAAUUGAUUGUUUCUAAUUUUAUUUGAUAUCAAUUUCAUCUUUAUUUAAUUAUUGAAUUUGAUAAGAUGAGUAAUUGAUGUAUUAUUUAUUUAUGUGUAAAUAAUAAAAUAUUUGAUGAUGUGUUUAUAUAAAGAUGUGCUAUUUGAAGAUGUGUGAUUUAAAGAUGUGUUAUAUAAAGAUGUAAUAUUUGAUGAUGAUGCUAUUUGAAGAUGUGUUAUAUAAAGAUGUGAUAUUUGAUGAUGAUGCUAUUUAAAGAUGUGUAUUUGUCGAGUCAUUUAAAGAUGUGCAUUUGGUAAGUCAUUACUUGGUGUUCAUGCAUUCAUGGUCAGUCCGAUUUAAAGAUGUGAUUUAAAGAUGGGGGAUUAAUCAGUAACAUAACUCUGAUAUCCAAAACCGGUACCACAUGCAUAUAGAGUCGAGUUAGAGACAUUGCAUACAUAACUGUAGGUCUAUUUGAAGAUGUGUAAUUAAAUGAUGUGAUAUUUUAAGAUGUUUAAGUGUUUAAAGAUGUGAUAUUCAAUGACGUGCUUCUAUAUGAUUAUGUGUGAAUGAUUGUAUUUUAUUAAUAUCUACUUGAUAUUCUUAAAUGUUGUUGAUGCUUAUAUGUUAUUAUGAGAUGUUGAUUGAUGCCUAUUUGAUUUUUAUUAAAUGAAAUUUUAUAUUUAAAUGUGAAUGUUAUCUGACUAUGAUGCAUAUACGUCUAAAUGUAAUUGCUGUGUUCUUUUAUCUGAAUCUAUACAUGUGUUUAUGCAUCUCUUAUGUUGAAUAUAUUCUCACCCUCUAGUGGCGGGUUAGGCGCCUGCACCCUUGUGGUGUAGAUUUGCAGGAAGAAGAUCUUAGUAGCAGUGAGUCUCGAAGGAUGGCGUUGGAGCCUUCUCCUUUUUGUGUAUUUGCUUUUGGGAGUCUUUACUUAGUUGAUGCUCUGAUUUGUGACACUAGGGAUUGAGGAUUUAUUUUAUUUUAGACUAGGCUUUAAAAAUCUU
rnacentral:lncRNA from 1 species